AAUGUUGGGUUAAGUCCCGCAACGAGCGCAACCCUUAUCCUUUGUUGCCAGCGGUUCGGCCGGGAACUCAAAGGAGACUGCCAGUGAUAAACUGGAGGAAGGUGGGGAUGACGUCAAGUCAUCAUGGCCCUUACGACCAGGGCUACACACGUGCUACAAUGGCAUAUACAAAGAGAAGCGACCUCGCGAGAGCAAGCGGACCUCAUAAAGUAUGUCGUAGUCCGGAUUGGAGUCUGCAACUCGACUCCAUGAAGUCGGAAUCGCUAGUAAUCGUAGAUCAGAAUGCUACGGUGAAUACGUUCCCGGGCCUUGUACACACCGCCCGUCACACCAUGGGAGUGGGUUGCAAAAGAAGUAGGUAGCUUAACCUUCGGGAGGGCGCUUACCACUUUGUGAUUCAUGACUGGGGUGAAGUCGUAACAAGGUAACCGUAGGGGAACCUGCGGUUGGAUCACCUCCUUACCUUAAAGAA
rnacentral:rRNA from 1 species